UUGCUCUUAUGGGUGGCGAGUGGCGGACGGGUGAGGAAUACAUCGGAAUCUACUCUUUCGUGGGGGAUAACGUAGGGAAACUUACGCUAAUACCGCAUACGACCUACGGGUGAAAGCGGAGGACCUUCGGGCUUCGCGCGAUUGAAUGAGCCGAUGUCGGAUUAGCUAGUUGGCGGGGUAAAGGCCCACCAAGGCGACGAUCCGUAGCUGGUCUGAGAGGAUGAUCAGCCACACUGGAACUGAGACACGGUCCAGACUCCUACGGGAGGCAGCAGUGGGGAAUAUUGGACAAUGGGCGCAAGCCUGAUCCAGCCAUGCCGCGUGGGUGAAGAAGGCCUUCGGGUUGUAAAGCCCUUUUGUUGGGAAAGAAAAGCAGUCGGUUAAUACCCGAUUGUUCUGACGGUACCCAAAGAAUAAGCACCGGCUAACUUCGUGCCAGCAGCCGCGGUAAUACGAAGGGUGCAAGCGUUACUCGGAAUUACUGGGCGUAAAGCGUGCGUAGGUGGUGGUUUAAGUCUGUUGUGAAAGCCCUGGGCUCAACCUGGGAAUUGCAGUGGAUACUGGGUCACUAGAGUGUGGUAGAGGGUAGCGGAAUUCCCGGUGUAGCAGUGAAAUGCGUAGAGAUCGGGAGGAACAUCCGUGGCGAAGGCGGCUACCUGGACCAACACU
rnacentral:rRNA from 1 species